UUUUCGCUCCAUGGACAAGUUUCUUGGAGUACGUCUUGUUGUCCUUGAAAACAAUAGACGCUGAAGCCAGAGCAGCUGCCAUCUCUGCUGCAAGGUCUGAGCAACUAUGACAUUCAGUUACAGGUCGAUGGUAAUCAAUGUCCUCAGGGCGCAUCCAACAAUAAUGGUCAUUACGAAUAUGUCCUUCACUGGUGUCUCCAACUCCCACCUGUUAUACAUAUUAAUAAUAAAUGCUGAAUAAAUAUACUAACUACUAAAGAACUUCUUCUUUUUUGUGUGUUGGACUGCCAUGGAAGGCAAAUUUUUUGCUAAGGAAGGCGAUUUUAGAUGUGAACAACUAAAAUUUUUGCAAGUGUGAAUAUCUGGUAAGUAAAAAAUUCCUAGGUAUCUAUCUGAGUGAAACAACCAGAAAGAUGGAGAAAAUUUACCUGCAUCACAACGCGAUCUAUGGUGUCAGCAGAAGAAUUAAAAGUUUUUAGAAGAUAAUCAGUUCCCCACUUAAUGAUGUCUUUAAUAUGGUUAAGCUCCCCUGCAGCUUCAUAUUUGGCACUGUACUCGAUCACACUCCAACUCAACAUGGUCAUGGCAAAAGAUUGUGGAAAAUUGAAUUUGAUUGCAUCACCAGAAUCAUAAUAACCCCCAACCAAAUUGUUGCCUUUGAAUGAAGGAUCAUCUAUCCCGUCGUUCAAACCAGAGUCUUCUCUCCAAGCAACAUUAUUGUCCUCCGGAAGUUUUCCAGCUGCAAACAUCCCACAUAAAGCAGUGUUCUUAUUCUAUUUUGUAUAGCCCUCUUUCUCUUCACGAUUAAGUUAGAGUUCAAUGUUUAUCAAAGCAAAUCGCGUGUUGAGUAUUUCUUAAUAUUGACUCUAUAACUUAUUAAAUUUAAAUUUGGUAGCAUUUCCUCUGUCCCAUUAUAACAGUACCUCGACUUGUAGAUUAUUUGGUUAUGCCUAUGAUUAGCCGUGGACUAAUUAAGCAAAUCCGCCUAAAAGUCAUAAUAAUUGAAACAUCAAUGCAAUUCAAGAACACAACAAAAACUUAAAUGACUUACAUUUCUGUGCAUUGAAGAACAAGAGUGCUUUGCUCAAAGCAAUCGUGUAAUUGUAUUCCAAUGUAGAUGUAGAACGAUCAAAAGGACGUGUAUCAUUAUCCAGCACUGGAGGACGAUGAUGCUGAUGUGGCAAAAACUUGACAAGAAGAAUGAUGAAGGCAGCAAUAAGACCAAGAGCAAUGAUAGUGCCAAUAGUCCAAAUAAUGAACUUUCUACUCACCCAACUCUGUGUUCCGGGACCAGAAUCAGCCGGAAUCUGUGGAACUCCAUCACAUGCAUUUGUUACAUGCAUGAUCAAAGAGUUCUCAGAUAUCUGUGUGCUUGCAAUUAAGACUGCAAGUUGAUGGGAUAUAUAGACAAAAAAUGUCAGACUGUUAGGAAUAUUGUGAGUUGGAGAAGACUUUGAUAUACAGGCAAUAAUGUAAAGAGAGUCUGACUUUGGAAAAAAUAUAUAUGCACAGGCAAGUAAAAUUUGAGAUUCAAUUAGUAAACGCUGGUGUUUAAUUUGUUAUUUUCUCGCUCAUGAAUGACAAUUUGUGCAGGCAAAUGAAAAUUUAAGAUCUAAAAUAUAUUCUUUAACUCUACCAAGGGCAAACAAGAAAGAAAGAAGAAACACAGGUACUUGAGUAAUCACAUUUGUUCAGACUUUACAGUGCAAGGAGUCACCGCGGAACUAGGCGAAGGCUAAACCUGGCUGAAAACUCGGUUGAGUUGGAAAAUUCCUUAUAAUCAGUUAUGUUUUGUUCCUUGAAAAUUAGCAGAUUUUCUCGUUUAAGCCCUGUCUGAUUCCAAGUAUUCACUGGAAAGAUUGUUAAAUUUCCAGUCACACCGCCGGAGUGGUACAUAAUGGUACAAUACAUACUUGUUAUUUUCCUACAUACAAUUUUCAUGUCACUACUGCCAACAAACUUAAAAGGGUAAAUGCAGGCAACCAUGAGUCGGGCAUUAACAAAAAGAACAAAUGAUUAUGGUGAUUAUUAAGAAAGUUUCAGCGUUUCAAAGCAGCUGGUGGUGGUGGUGGGAGCGGAAACAUAGGUGUAACUGCAGAGAACAUGGUGUUCUUGUCAAUCUGCGUAUUUUUACCAGCUGACAAAGCCACAAGGGCUGCGACUAAACCAGCAUUGCCUGCAAUAGUUGGUUCUGUGUAAUUAUAGUUUGUACGCUUAUCAUGGAAACCAUCAUGCCUGUCAGGGCCAGCAACCAUAGCCCCAACAAUAGUAUUAGGAUUUGGCUUUGAGCUGUCCCUCCAUUUCCAUCCUCCUUUGCAACUGUAUUUGACCUUGUUGUUAGGAAUGGACGCACCUCUGUGGUGGACUUGUUUCGGAUAGUGACUUCCAAAUCCCACUAGAUAACUCAUCUUUCUUGGAUUUUUACCAAGAACAUAGUCAAUCUGCCAAAACCAAAGAAAGAACUUAAGCUAUCUGUUAUGAUUUCCUAAGACAACUAUGUGGAAGUAUUUUGGAAAGAGAAGAAGACAUGCAGGUCUUAUUGUAAUGGACAGCAACUCUAACAUACCUGAGUCUUGGCAAAUGUUCGCAGGACACUAAUUGGGUAGAAAUUUGGUCCACAGUACCAUCCAGGUGUAUCCGUAGCAUCAAGAUAGUCGCCAAAUAGUGUAGCCAAGAAAGCAGCAUUGACAACGAAUUGAAGAGGCUGCGGUUUUCCAUUAUUCAACUGAAUCAAGCCUCCUGCAAUGUUGCCAAAAAAUAUUGAGUGCCUCUAAUGUUGCAGAGGGGAACAGUAGAUAGCGUAUGUAAGUUCAAUUGAAAAUUGGUAUGGAUGAUGAAGCAAAGUCAGUAUACCGUGUGUUCUGUUGAAGCGCUUAAAGGAUGGAAGAAAUGAGCACAUGUACAUGCAGGUCUGAUUGUGAAAUGUCCUUAGACCUUCUUCAAAGGGAUACCCAGGGGCCAAGAACAAUCUCAGACGUGUUAAAAGAAGCUGCGAGAAGAAAACAAACAUCAGUUGCAUAAAAAUAAUGAGCAAAAGAAUGAUAAUAGUUCUGCAUAUGAGAGAACCAAGAUGUUAUGCAGAUAUGCAGACAUUAAUAAACUUUAUACUGUCGACAGAAAAGACAAUCUAAAAGAUUUAAUUAAAGUCAACAAAAAAUACCAAAGGGUCUUUCUUGAAAGUAGAAUCUGGGGACGAUACUUGAAAAAAUAAAAAAUAUCAUCAACUAUGCAGCAAUUGAAAAUUUUAUCAGUUGGUACUCAAACUUACUUGAGCACCUGGAAGUUUGUUAUCCCAACUAAGUACACCAGAACCAGGACCUUCCCGGAAAGCACCAGCAUGUGCGGCCAUUUUCAUAUUAGUGGCAAGGGAAAGAUAAGAACUAUUUCCUGUAGCGUAAUACAUCCAAGCUCCUCCCCACACAAACUCAUCCCAAUAACUACUGGAGUCAUAGAAUACUGCAGCUUCUGUUCCUGUGCUAUACUUGCCACGCUGAUGCCUGGAGAACUUAAAGAGGGCUUUAGCUCCAUGGACAAGUUUCCGAGAGUAAGCCUUGUUAUCCUUGAAAACAAUUGAUGCUGCAGCUAGAGCAGCUGCCAUCUCUGCAGCAAGGUCUGAGCACCUAUGACAUUCUGCUACAGGCUGUUCAUAGUUAAUGUCUUCAGGACGCAUCCAACAGUAGUGAUCAUUAGGAAUUGACCCUCCAGCGGUAUCCCCACUUCCCACCUGUCAUUUAGACAAAAAACCAGCAGUAUGAAUUCCUGACUGAAGCACUGACAAUAAAGGAAGAUCUAAUUGUUAAGUUGUCCGAGAUAUUGCGAGCGAACUAGUUCACUAUAUGCAUCAUGAUACCUUCUAUUAUUACGGAUGCAUGAUAAUUAGCGAUGCUUCCAAUUAGCUAGUUCACCAUAUGCAUGAUAACAAUGUUCCUGUGAAUGUCUGAUAUAAAACACUAGCGACACAGCCACUAGAAAAUUUAUAACUAAAUUUGAUUUGCGGGUAAGUAAAUAUUAGAUGAUUAGUGUGAGAAUGAAAACUCAUCUGCUGAGAUUUUUUCUAAAUAUUCUUAACUCUUAAGGAUCUUGUUCAGAAAUUCCUCUAACAACACGUAUUUAACCAUCAUAGUAAAUACAAUUAGAAAGAUUGAGAAUGAAAACUCAUCUGCUGAGAUUUUUUCUAUAUAUUCCUAACUCUUAAGGAUCUUGUUCAGAAAUUCCUCUAACAACACGUAUUUAACCAUCAUAGAGAAUAUAACUAGACGCCAUGUACCUGAAUGACAAGGCGAUCUAUGGUAUCAGCAGACGAGUUAAAAGUUUUCAGAAGAUAAUCAGUUCCCCAUUUAAUGACAUCUUUGAUAUGGUUAAGCUCCCCAGCAGCUUCAUAUUUUGCACUGUACUCGAUCACACUCCAACUCAACAUGGUCAUUGCAAAAGAUUGAGGAAAAUUGAAUUUGAUUGCAUCACCGGCAUCAUAAUAACCACCAACCAAAUCUCUGCCUAUAGAUGAAGGAUCAGAUUUUCCAUCAUCUAAACCAGAGUUUCCCCUCCAGGAAACAUUAGUGUUUUUUGGAAGUUUUCCAGCUGCAAACAUCCCACAUAAAACUUGAAAUCAUGCACAAAGAAUUCUGUGCAGGUAUAUUAUAAUUAUGCCACAAACAAGGUACGGACGUACGGUCGAUCUACAAAUAUUAACCUAAUAUUCACAUAAAAAUAUACAGUCCAAGAACACAGUAAAGUAUUAACCUAAUAUUCACAUAAAAAUAUAUAGUCCAAGAACACAGUAAAGUUGAGGGCACUUACAUUUCUGUGCAUUGAAGAACAUAAGUGCUUUGCUUAAAGCAAUCGUGUAUUUAUUCGACUGCAGCAUAGCGCGGUCCAAAGCAAGAGUGACAUUAUCUGGCAGCGACUGAGGACGGUGGUGAUGAUGUGGCAAAGUCUUAAUAAGAAGAAUGAUAAAACCAACAAUUAAACCAGCAGCUAAAACAAUGCCAAUUGUCCAUAUGAAAUACUUCCUGCUCGAACAACUCUGAGAUUUGUCAUCCAAAGGCGGAGACAUCACCACCGGAUCAAUGUAGCUCUGAUCUUUAAUUGUAUCAGAACCCACCAGAAUUUGUAGUUCCCCAUCAGAUGCAAGUCUAAUUUGCAUUACUAAACACUUACAGAUCCAAAAAAAAAACAGAACUCCCUAUGAAAUGAAUGCGCGUUUAUCAUGGGAAUAUUUACUUCAAUGUUAAGUUACUGGAGGAAUUUCUUAACAAAAACCGCGAGAAGUCUAAAGGAAGCCCAGAGGCAUGGUGAUCUUAAUUAAUGUGUCAGUCAGUCUGGUGGAAAUAAAGAAUGUGCAAGUGCUACUAUAUUACAUUGGGAGACUUUCAUAAAAGCCAAUAAUGUGAGAAACAUUGUAAGUUGCAGAAUACUGUAAGGAAGAGCUGUAUAUUGGAAUUUGACUUUCUGCAGAAAAAUAUUAAGGUAAAUAUUCAUUAAAAAUAUAAUUUCUAUAAUCAAGAAUGGAUAGUAUUUGACUAAUAAGACUGAUUAGAAGAGGCCUAAUAUAAUACUUGCCCUGAAGAAACAUAACUACAUUCAAUGUCUCACGGAUGACCUUUUCGUCUAAUGGCAUCUCCUUCGCUCCCUUUAAGGCAUGCUGAGGGUUUGAAUGUUGCUAAUGAUAAAAUGGGUGUGUGUAGUUAUAAAAAAAAUAUCAAUGUCUUCAGCAAAUGAGUUGAUAUAAGAAAGAUGCAACUAUAACUCUAUAAGGUUUUCAGACACUAAUCAAAAAUAAGUUUCAUCCUUGAGAAUCUGGUUCCAACAUCAACCGCAUGUUAUGUAAAAAAAACUAUUUCUCCUCGCGAAUUUACAUCAACUGUCACGGUGUCACCCUCUUUCACAUCACCGGACAAAAUUCUAUCACCCAAACUAUCUUCCAAAAUUCUAGUAAUGGCCCUCCUCAACGGUCUUGCUCCAUAGCUUGGAGAGUAGCCCUCUUCAAGCACCAUAUCACGAACUUUAUUCUCUAUUUUAACGAUAAUAUCCUUCCUUUCCCAUACCUUUUCUUUAAACUCUUUCAGCAUCAGCUGAACAAUUUUUUUCAGACGUUUCUUUGUGAGUUGCUUAAAAACGAUAAUGUCAUCAAGCCUAUUCAAGAACUCUGGCCUAAAUUUUUGCUUUAAUAAUUCAGAAACCUCGUGUUUCACUUGCUCAUACUUACCAUUUAAUUGACCUCCGAUAUUAGAAGUAAGUAUGAUAAUUGUGUUCUUGAAGUCUACAAGGCAGCCUUUACCAUCAGUUAGCCUGCCAUCAUCUAAUAUCUGGAGCAUUGCGUUAAAUACAUCUGGGUGAGCCUUCUCAAUCUCAUCAAAAAGUACCAAAUUAUGCGGCCUUCUUUUCACAGCUUCUGUUAGCUGCCCGCCAUCAUGGUGUCCUACAUACCCUGGAGGCGCUCCAAUUAGUUUAGACACGUCAUGCUUUGCCAUGUACUCACUCAUGUCAAAUCUUACCAAUGCUUCUUUCGACCCAAAAUACUCUUUUGAAACUAAUUUAGCUAGCUCUGUUUUGCCUACUCCAGUAGGUCCAGUGAACAAAAAGCUUGCAAUGGGACGAUUUAGGUCCCUGAUUCCAACUUUGGCUCUGCGUAUAGCUCGGCUAACAGAUACAACUGCUUUUUUCUGUCCGAUCACUUGGGUUUGGAGAGUUUUUUCCAUGUUAAGGAGCUUCAAUGCUUCUUCCUGUGAUAUUUUUUCAACUGGAAUACCAGUCCACGACGAUAACACAUGCUGUAUAUCCAACUCAGUCACACACAUUUUCUUAGGCUUGGGAUGCAGAUUAACCUUUAGAUGCGACUUCUUAUUCGUUUUAACCUCUGAACGCGACUUCUUAUGCCUUUUAACCUGAACCACAUUCUCAUUAUUGUCUACUUGCUUCCUCUUCAGAUUCACCCUCGCGCCUGCUUCAUCAAUUAAGUCUAUUGCCUUUUCAGGCAGAAAUCGGUCACUGCAUAGUGUGUCACAUUUUUAUUCACGUCGAGUUAAAAAAAAUGGAUGAAAUGUGAGAUAUACAAAGAUGAAUUGUUACCAAAUGUUAAAUAAACAACCUGACAUAUUGUUUUGCCAAGGAGGAAGCGCAGUGAACGGCUUUGUCAGUGUAUUGAACAUUAUGAAAAGUUUCAUAUCUUUUUAACAGCCCUUUGAGUAUCAAAACCGUGUCCUGCACAGAUGGUUCAGGCACAUCAACAACUUGAAAAUGUCGUUUUAAUGCCCCGUCUUUUUCAAUGUACUUCCUGCAUUCUGCCGCGGUUGUUGCUCCGAUGCACUGUGACCAUACCAAAAGUCACAUAGUUUUUCUUAGAAAAUUCAUAACUAAAAAUAUUUUUUAAGAAACAGAAUUACCUUUAACUCGCCCCUAGCUGGUGCUAGUUUUAUAAUGUUGGAUGCAUGAAGCUGGUAGCCAUUAUUAAUUAUUGUAUGUAAUUCAUCAAUAAACAGCAAAAUUUUCCCUUUACUUAAUUUCACUUCAACCAGAACUUUAUUCAGCCUCUGGACGAUUUCACCUUGCCAUGUCGUGCCAGCUUUUAAUCGAGCCAUUUCUAUGGAGAAUACCUGACAGAUGCAACAUUGAAUACAGAGUCUCGCAAGAUAUCUAUCAUGCAAAUUUACAAAACAAUUGUCAUACCUUUGUUCCUUGGAGUUUUAAUGGCACAGUUCCGUUAACAAUUCUUGAUGCCAGGCCUUCAACAAUGACGGUUUUACCAACCCCGGGAUUGCCAGUGAGGCACACAUUAUUGUUUCCGCGCUUGCAUAAUAUUUGCAUGACACGUUCAAUCUCAUCAGUCCUUCCUAUGACCGGAUCCAAUUUAUUCUGAAAAAAUGAUAGUAAAUUACUUGCUUUCAUGCCCAGACCCAAUGUAAACAAAUAAGUGGGACAGAGAGACUAUUACUUAAGAAAUUAAAAUAUACAACCUGCUUAGCCAACUCGGUUAGGUCUGUCCCAUACUUGUUCAGUUCUGUAAGCUUCCGAUACAGCUUCUCCAUUGCCUCUAUAUAUUUUACUCAGAUAUCUGCCAAGUUUAAGUGUAAAGAUUACAUUAAUAUUUUAUUAUCGUUCGUAUUUUUGCAAAUUUAGAUUUAUAAUUUUUAGGGGUCCAACGUUUAAUGAAUCCGAAAUAGUUAUAAUUUCAUAUUAUUAAUUUUUCAAGAAGACAGUCCUGCCCUCUUUGACUUUACAAAAUAGGCUUAGACGAUUUAUAGAUUGUAUUCAUUUGGGAUGUUAAAGAUUUUUUUAUUCAUGUAAUCCGAGGAUAUUCAACUCGGAUUUUAAGAAAUUAUCAGAAUCUUGGGGUAUUCAAUUAGGAUUUUAAAUUAUGAUACAAAAUCUGGAUUUUAUAUUAUGUUUUAAAAUUCGAUGGUAUUCAAUUGGAAUUUAUUUGAAAUUAAUUAAAAUAUGAUGGUAUUCUAAUGUUGAUUGAUUUAUUUGGGAUUCGGUGUAUUCUAAGAUAUUCAAAAUCCCAUUAGCAUUGUGCUUAAAUCCUAAAAUCCUAAAGACUCCAUCAACUAUGCGAAAUUUGUCAAAAAUCCGCAUAAAAUAAAAAUCAGAUGCAAUUCAUUAAAAUCCAUAAACUAUAUGAAAUCCAUCAAAUCCCAUCAAUCAAAGUUGAACAGGACAUAUGCAUCGUGAGAUGUGAGAUGUAUGUCCAUAUACAGGGGAGAGUGGGUGCGGGUUCGGUGCGGUUUUGGAUAAAACCGCAACCGGAACCGCAUGCCUUCGGUUUUAAAACUCAAAAACCGCAACCUCAUCCUCGGUUUCGGUUUCAAAACCUCGGGUUCGGUUUAUAUCGGUUACAUGAAUAAUCAAAACUCAACUAAAAAUUAUACAUCAAUCCAAAGUUUAAACAAACGAAAAGCAUAAAAAACUCAAAAUUUAAACAACCGGGAAGCAUAAAAUCUGAACCAGCCAAAUUGCAAGACCUGAAUCUAAUUCAGUCAUUAUAAAACUCUAUUAUAAAACCCGUUGAACCUUAUUUUUUACUUAACAGAUCAAGAGGUUGUCAGUAUAGAACACUAUGCAAAAGUGGAAAGUCGAAACAAAGUGCAGACAAUAACAUACUCAUAAUGAAUAACCCCUUUGCAGUAAACAUUUCCUAACUUAACAACACAUAUCAAGUUAUGUGUUUCGGAUUCGGUUUAUAAGUUUUCGGUUUUGGUUUCGGUUCGGGUUUAAACGGUUCGGAUUUUAGCGGUUUAUAGCUGUUUCGGUUUCGGAUUUAUUCAGUUUUUUGCUCACCCCUGUUUAUACAAGAUUAAAUAGCAUUAUGAUCAUGAUUCACUAAGAGGGAACGCUCUUUAACUUUACAAAACAGAUUGACCAACAUUCAAAGCUGAACAAAACAUAAACAACACGAACCGAAAUUCAGACAUGAAUAUCGUAAGUAUGUAGAAACGUAAUUUCGACAUAAAUAUAAUUUGAAGUAACUCCUUGAGAAUAUUGCUGGGGCAAAGUAGAGUAAGAUUUCGUACCUUGUUCUACGAUCACCCUUGAUGUUUAUAGAUCCUCAAACUAACCUGAUGCAAAAAUCUAGGUUAAACAAAUUAUAUACUUAUAUAUAAUAAGCGUAAGGGAGAUAAUUUGGUCGCAUGGUCCUCUGGUCCAAAAGCUUAUCAUUCGUUGGAUCUUAUAUUGAACAAAUAAGCACCGUUAGAUCGAAACAAAAUUAAAUUCUGUUCUAGAAGGCAACUGAUAUCUACUUGUAUGUUUAUAAUUCCUUUUCUGAAUCCAAAACAAAUUCUGUCUUUCACAUGUAUAUGAUUUUUUUUAAUCCUAAAUAAAUAUUUCCUACCAGUUUUAUCCGUAGAAUCAUAUAAAUCUCACCGUCACAAUUUUUUUAUAAUAUAUUUUAAAAUUAAUAAGCCGGAUUUAUGUGAGGAACAGAUACAAAAACUUUUUCUUAAUCCAAAAUAGAUUCUACCUUCUUAUUGCAUAUUUAUGAUUUUUUUUCUUAAUUCAAAACAAAUUCUGUUUAUUAAUUUUAAUUUAGAACCAUAUAAAUUUUUUGAAAAAUAUUUAAAUCACAUUAUAAUAAUUUUAAUAUAAAAUACAUUUAUUAAUUUAAUGUAAUAGGAGUUGUCAUAACGUAUUCCACUCAAAAUAUAUUAAAAUUUAAUAGAUAAAAUUUAAUACUUUGGCAUGAUACAUAAGAGAAAAGGAAUUGUUUGAUUAAAAUAAUUUAUUUGAAACCAUUAAUGGCUGUGAUGAUGUAUUUACCAAAGUUCUAACUUACAAACAAAUCAUAAUUUCGAAUUUUUUUAUUGAAAAUUUUAAUUUAUUAUUUAUAAAUUAAAUUUUUUCACACCAUUUAAAAUAUAUUUAAAAAAUUUAUAAAUAAUUAAAAAGCUCCCGUGCCUUGCACGGGCUAUAAGCUAGUAUAUAUAUAUACUAGCAUCACGAUUCACGGGCUCUCCAGUAAUAUUGGGAUCCCCUACUUGCAUAAUAGAAAUCGGACAACGGUAUAUAUUUGAAAAUUGAUUAUAUAAAUAAAAAAUAAUUUUACUUAUUUGAUUUUCUCUGUUAGAAAAGCUUAUUAGAAGUAAUCAUGUUAAAUGGUAUUUGAUAUAUAUUAACAAUUUAGGCGCCGUUUGGCUUAGUUUAAAAUAAUGCUUAAAUUAAAAAAGUAGAUUAGAAGUGAGAAGUUUGUUUAAAUUUAUAAGUUAUUAUAAGUAUUUGGAUAGCGUGAAUUAUAAGUUAUUUAAGUGUUUGAAUAACUGAACUUAUAAGUUGGUAUAGUUUGGUAAUUUUGUAAUAAAAUAAUUUAUUCUUUUUUAAAAAAAAUUAUAAUAAUAAAAGACUUUUUAUUGUUAAUACAUGAAAUUUCUGCGUAUUAAAAGAAAAAAUUAAUAACUGUAAAUACCCCAAAGUUUGUUUUGCUUCAUUCUACAAUCCUCUAGUCCUAAACAGAACAGCUUUGCUGGGGGCUAUGUUUCUGCAAUUUGCUUGCUCGUCAGUUACAGUGUGUUUGCUCGUUUACUCUUAAAAAGAAGCAGAAGCCAAGUCUCAAAAAGAAGAUAAAUUUUUUAGCUUUUUUGUUGGACUUCUUUCAGCUUAAUUAAGUAAUUCAUUUGGUUUGCCAAACGCACAAGGGAAAAAAGAGGAAGUGAACUUCUGAACUUUUAAACCCAGAAGUUUCAUUCCCAACACCCACUUAAUAUUUAUAAUCAUAUAGUAUUUAAUAUAAAUAGCGAACAUUCGAAUUUAAUAUUUAUGAUCAUACAUUCACUUGUUAUAAAUACCUAACAUUACUAGUUUAUGUUUUAUCUUUUCAACUAUAAAUAGUCAAAUUUAAUAUUUCUGAUCGCACAUGCAAAUACUAAUAGUGAAAAAUUUAACAUGUGAAUUGUGAUUAGUCUAUACUUUAUUUCUUUAAUUAUAAGAAUUCGUUGCAGCAUGGGCUAAUGAAGCAUAGGGUCCCAAAUUGUGUUCAUGCUAUGAAUCUUGUUUUGGCAUCCAUUAUUAUAACUGCAAUUAAUAAUAUCUCAAAUAUUUCAUCUGAAAAAUAUGAUUUGAAAUAUAAUUUUUUAAUAGUACAUCGUUUAAAAUUUAUAAAUUUGACAAAAGCAAUACAUCAUGUAACGUUUACUCUUUUUUUAACCCAAAUCUAUGAAAAAAAUAUACAAACCCCGAAAAUUUUGACAUAAAUCGGACAUUUGAAUUCCAAAUCCAUAUAACAUAUCACUUAACCGUUAACGCUAUAUUAUAUAGCAGUUUAUUUUUGUAACAUGACAUGAAGUCUAAUAUGAUAUAUAGCAUCAUAUUUUUUAUUUAGGAUAUUUGAACUUAAAUCAUGAUAUUUAUGACUUUUAUCUCCAACUUAGGAUGCUUGCUCUUAUUCAACAUUGAACAAAAAAAAGGGGGAAACAGAGCAUUAUGUAAUCACAGAUGUUCAAACAUCAGAGUUUUCACGGAAUGGUGGUUGAACUCAAAUCGGUGAUAUUUAGAGCAUUUCAACUCAAAUGGUGAUAUUUAUGACCUUUUCUCUAAUUUAGGAUGGCUGCUCUUAUUGAACAAAAAAAAAAGGGAAAAACAGAGCAUUAUGUAAUCACAAAUGUUCAAACAUCAGAGUUGGUUGAUUUCUUUCCUACAUACAAGCUAUAUAACAAUUUCACAUGAAAACAGAAGAUGGCCACACCAAUGCCAUUCUGAUGUUCACUCCUAUAAGACUGUUCCAGUGUCAUGUUUCACCGUUUUAUACUGAUGUGGUGCUUAUUUCCCAACUCAUUUUUUCUUUGUAAAUCAAUAUAUAUGGUGUAUUCAUUAUCAAACAAAACUUCAAGCAAAGUUAUCACCUCAUGAGUCGAACGUGGAUAAAUGAUAAACUACAGUGACCCUUACGGAGGUUUCAAGGUUUCCAAGCAGCUGGUGGUGGCGGUGGGAGGGGAAACAUGGGUGGAACUGCAGAGAACAUGGUGUUCUUGUCAAUGAGCGUACUUUUACCACCUGAUAAAGCCACUAGGGCAGCGACUAAACCAGCAUUGCCUGCAAUAGUUGGUUCUGUGUAAUUAUAGUUUGUACGCUUGUCGUGGAAACCGUCAUGCCUGUCAGGGCCAGCAACCAUAGCCCCGACAAGAGUAUUAGGAUUUGGCUUUGUAGUGUCUCUCCAUUUCCAUCCUCCUUUGCAGUUGUAUUUGACCUUGUUUUUAGGAAUGGAUGCACCUCUAUGGUGGACUUGUUUCGGAUAGUGAGUGCCGAAUCCCACAAGAUAACUCAUCUUUCUAGGAUUUUUACCAAGAACAUAGUCGAUCUGCCAAAACCCCACAAACGAUCAGUUAUUUGUCACAAUUUAUUAUCUUAAUCCGAUUACUAGGGGUAUUCUAAAAAUAAAGAAUUUGCAUGUCUCUAUAACUAAAGUUGGAUAGUAUCAGAGAAAGUCUAACAUACCUGGGUCUGAGCAAAUGAACGGAGGAUAUCAGUUGAGUAGAAAUUUGGUCCACAGUACCAUCCAGGUGUAUCCGCAGCAUCCAUAUAGUCACUAAAUAAUGUAGCCAAAAAAGCAGCAUUGACAACAUACUGAAGAGGCUGUGGCCUUCCAUGAUUUAACUGGAUCAACCCUCCUGAAUCGUUGCUAAUAAACAUUAGAUGCCGAUUUAUGUUGUAGCGGGAAACACUAUGUUGUAUAUAAGUUGAUAUAGAGAGUAUUAAAAAUAUUGCUGUGAAGUCACCACACCUUUUGUUCUGUUGAAGCUAGUGAAAAAAGGAAGGAAUGAGCACAUGUAUAUGCUGGUCUGGUUAUGAAAUGUCUUUAAAGCUUCUUCAUAAGGAUACCCAGGGCUCAAGAACAAUCUCAAACGUGUUAAAAGAACCUAAGGGCAAAGAAAGGCAUCAGAUCAGUAGUUUCUUUAAAAUGGUAUUUGCGAAAGAAUCAUCUAAAAUCUGCAAAACGGCAUAUCUGAGAAGUUAUGCAGAUAAGUUUUGACACUUUACCCGUUGUGCAUUAUAUCAACUUUAAUGAGAAGAGAUAAUUCAAACCAUCUUAUACGUUUCAUCUAAUUAUCUCCUCAGGAAUACCAAUGUACGUAGCAUCUACAAAUCUAAAUUUCUAAGCAAGUAGUCAUAUAGAUCUGCUGGAACCUGAAUGACACACAACCUCAUGCCAUAAUGAUCAGUGUAUGAUACAGAACAUGUAGUUCAUAACCCUGUAACGAGGAACAUAAGUCCUUCAACUUAAAUGCACUGUGUAAAGCUUAAAUAUAUAUAAGCAAACUAAAAAGCUUAAGAAAGAAUGUAGAGAAAUAUGAUGCAUUUUAUUGGCGGUAACAGUGCUCAGAAAUUAAAAAACGAUUAGUAGAUUUUAAUUCUUCUUUUCAAGAUGUAAAUGCCUGUAUAGGGUUAGAAACCUAAUAGAUUAACCGUAGAGCUUAGGAACCUAACAUUAAAUAUCAACCACUACUCCAAAUAGCAGAGCAUCAACAAUGUAGUAGUACAUCACACAAUGAACUUGUCAAUUAUGCAGCAAGAGGAAGUUUCAGAGCAAAAUACCAAGACUAACAAAACUUACUUGAGCUCCUGCAAGCUUGUUAUCCCAACUAAGUACACCAUAAUCUUGGCCUCCCCAAAAAGCACCAGCAUGUGUGGCCAUUUUGAUAUUAGUAGAAAGGGAGAGGUAAGAAUUAUUUCCCGUAGCAUAAUACAUCCAUGCACCUCCCCAGACAAACUCAUCCCAAUAGCUAGUGGAGUUAUAGAAAAUUUCAGCCUCCGUACCUACGCUAUACCUGCCACGCUGAUCUCUAGCAAAUUUAAAGAGGGUUUUCGCUCCAUGAACAAGUUUCUCAGAGUAUGCCUUGUUGUCCUUAAAAACAAUAGAUGCUGAAGCCAGAGCAGCUGCCAUCUCUGCUGCAAGGUCUGAGCAACUAUGGCAUUCAGUUACAGGUCGAUCAUAAUCAAUGUCCUCAGGGCGCAUCCAACAAUAAUGAUCAUUUGGACUUGGUCCUCCACUGGUAUCUCCAAUUCCUACCUGUUAUACAUAUUAAUAAUGAACGUAAGUUGCUGAAUAAUAUACUAACAAUUAAAGAACAGCAUUUUUUUGUGUUGGGCCAGCCAUGGAAGACAAUUUUAGAUGCAAAUGACAAUGAUUUUAGAAUGUGAAUAUCUGUAAAUGCCUAGGUAUCCAUCUUAGUGAAACAACUAGAAAGAUGAAGAACAUUUACCUGCAUCACAACGCGAUCUAUGGUAUCAGCAGAAGAAUUAAAAGUUUUUAGAAGAUAAUCAGUUCCCCACUUAAUGACAUCUUUAAUAUGGUUAAGCUCCCCUGCAGCUUCAUAUUUAGCACUGUACUCAAUCACACUCCAACUCAACAUGGUCAUUGCAAAAGAUUGUGGAAAAUUGAAUUUGAUUGCAUCGCCAGCAUCGUAAUAACC
rnacentral:lncRNA from 1 species